GACCGAGGUGCCGAGCGUUAGGCGGAAUCACUGGGCUUAAAGCGUGUGUAGGUGGUUGUCUAAGUACCUUGUGAAAUCCCACGGCUUAACCGUGGAACGGCUCGGUAUACUGGAUGUCUUGAGCCAGCUAGGGGCUACCGGAACAAAUGGUGGAGCGGUGAAAUGCGUAGAGAUGUGGAGGAAUACCGAUGGCGAAGGCAGCCCCCUGGGAUAACACUGACGCUCAUGCACGAAAGCGUGGGGAGCAAACAGG
rnacentral:rRNA from 1 species